UACAGAGGGUGCAAGCGUUGUCCGGAAUCACUGGGCGUAAAGGGCGCGUAGGCGGCCUGAUAAGUCGGUGGUGAAAUCCUGGAGCUCAACUCCAGAACUGCCUUCGAUACUGGGAAGCUCGAGUCCGGGAGAGGUGAGUGGAACUGCGAGUGUAGAGGUGAAAUUCGUAGAUAUUCGCAAGAACACCAGUGGCGAAGGCGGCUCACUGGCCCGGUACUGACGCUGAGGUGCGAAAGCGUGGGGAGCAAACAGG
rnacentral:rRNA from 1 species